rnacentral:tRNA from 1 species
GCGGAAAAAGUUAAAGUGGUCUAACAGGGAACCUAAAAUUCCUGAGACGGGGUUCAAUUCCUCUUUUUAGCA